AAAACCAAAAGCAAACUCUCAUCAAAUUUUAGUUUACUUGUUCAUAUGCAAACACCUCUCACCAUCGAUUUCAAAAACUAAUCAUAACUGCAUCUUUGAAUCAAAACCCAUCUCAGAAUUAGAACCAUAAUCCUUUAACAUCCCCUAAUUUUUGUAACCCUAGAUACAGUUGGUUAUUCUCCCGAAAUUGAAGAAAACCCUCAUCUCAUAUUCGAUAUAGCUGAAAGUACAAGAAGAAGACUUCACCAGGCAGGACAGGAUUGGAUUCGUAAUGAUAAUGGGUGAGUUGAGGGAAACGAGGAUAGUGAAGAAGCAUAUGCUGCUACAUCGAGUCAUCUUGGGUUUUACUGAUAUGCUAGUUCAACACAUCCCUUCUGCCAAAGAAGCUGCAGCAAGGAAAGUAG